rnacentral:rRNA from 1 species
GACGAACGCUGGCGGCGUGCUUAACACAUGCAAGUCGAACGAAGAGCGAUGGAAGCUUGCUUCUAUCAAUCUUAGUGGCGAGCGGGUGAGUAACGCGUAAUCAACCUGCCCUUCAGAGGGGGACAACAGUUGGAAACGACUGCUAAUACCGCAUACGAUCUAAACUCGGCAUCGAGGAUAGAUGAAAGGUGGCCUCUACAUGUAAGCUAUCACUGAAGGAGGGGAUUGCGUCUGAUUAGCUAGUUGGAGGGGUAACGGCCCACCAAGGCGAUGAUCAGUAGCCGGUCUGAGAGGAUGAACGGCCACAUUGGGACUGAGACACGGCCCAGACUCCUACGGGAGGCAGCAGUGGGGAAUCUUCCGCAAUAGACGAAAGUCUGACGGAGCAACGCCGCGUGAGUGAUGACGGCCUUCGGGUUGUAAAGCUCUGUUAAUCGGGACGAAAGGCCUUCUUGCGAAUAGUGAGAAGGAUUGACGGUACCGGAAUAGAAAGCCACGGCUAACUACGCG